rnacentral:rRNA from 1 species
AUUGAACGCUGGCGGCAUGCUUUACACAUGCAAGUCGAACGGUAACAGGGUGCUUGCACCGCUGACGAGUGGCGAACGGGUGAGUAAUACAUCGGAAUGUACCCAGUAAUGGGGGAUAACGCUUCGAAAGGAGUGCUAAUACCGCAUACGCCCUGAGGGGGAAAGUGGGGGACCGCAAGGCCUCACGUUAUGGGAGGAGACGAUGGCUGAUUAGCUAGUUGGUGAGGUAAAGGCUCACCAAGGCGACGAUCAGUAGCGGGUCUUAGAGGACGAUCCGCCACACUGGAACUGAGACACGGUCCAGACUCCUACGGGAGGCAGCAGUUGGGAAUCUUGGACAAUGGGCGAAAGCCUGAUCCAGCAAUGCCGCGUGCGUGAAGAAGGCCUUCGGGUUGUAAAGCGCUUUUGUCUGGGAGCAAAUCCUGGCCUCUAAUACAGGUCGGGGAUGAGAGUACCAGAAGAAUAAGGACCGGCUAACUACGUGCCAGCAGCCGCCGUAA